AAAAUAAACGACGUACUUUAUUAGAACUUUUCGCCUUUCACGAAAUAAAUCCACAAGUUUUAAAAUUAAUGGAAGAAACGUAUCCAACUCUUCGUGCCGUAUUAAAUGAUAAAAACAGAAAUUUAGAGAUAAUAGCUGCUGAGUGGCCUUUCUUACAAGAAACCGAUUGUUUCUUUCAACACUGUUCUCGAUUAUUAGGGAAAAAUGUUGUUCAAGUCUGGACAAAUUCACUUAGUAACAAGACGAAAUCCAUACGGCAAUAUUUCAAACAUUCACAGAAAAAAAAGCCAAUGAAAUAAACGAGAUUAUAAACGACUGCAAAACAGCUGUUCAAAUAAGGAAGGAUAAAAUACCAAAACUAUUAGUAAUUUUCCGAUUAUUAAUCUUUUAUUUCAAUGAAAAGGAAAAUUUUCUUUUUAAAAUAAUUGGAAAUGACGUUGAUGAUGCUGAUGUAAUAAAUGCUGCUGACACUGAGUAUCCUGUGCUUAUCAUCAGAGGAAAAUCAUUAUACGACGAGAAUGCAAAAUGUACUGUCAUUAUUGGUAAAAAAGUUUCAAUUACUUCCACGAAUUCUCUGGAAGGAAUCUUGAUAACUUUUCUCGCAUACUACGUUUAUGGAUUUUGAUCUUCACCUAAAAUUGAAAAAUCUCUAGAAUUUAUACAAAGGUAACUACGAUUUAUUAUAAUUUCUAUAUAAAUGUAUAUAACGUAAGUAUAUCCUAUAUAGCUUAAUACUCAAUAUGGCCUACUUGUUAUUUCUAUAAGUUUCUUGGUUAUAUGAUGAAUUGAACAAAUAACGCUGUGUUGUACAGGCUGUCAACGUGUUUGCAACAGUUGACAACUCGAUUUUUGUAUUUUGUUGUUGAUAAUAAAAUCACAUUUUUUUAUUGUUUCUUUUUAUUAUCCAUCUUUCUAACACUUUUUGUGAAAACGAAAUAAUAUUAUUAGACUAGUUAGAACAAUUAAGUAACUUAUGUAUCUAAUACGACCUAAAUGACACUUUCUAAAAAUCUUUAUGCAUUGCGGCCACGUAAAUAUUUAAAACUGUCUCAAAUUUAAAUUAAUGUUCAUA